rnacentral:lncRNA from 1 species
CCUGCCUGCUUCCAUUUACCCUGUGCUUAAAGAAUCCAACUAACUUUGCCCCCACCCCACCUUUAAGACGUUUUCCGCCUCACCUUUGGUAUAUAAAUGUCUUCAGUCUAUCCUAACUUAAAAAUAUGUUCUUCCACAAAAAUGUAGAUUCAUGGUUUGGUGAAGUUCCUCGCUGUGUCUCAGUUUGUCCCAGCUCAACCUCUCAGACACAACCUGCCUGUUUUCCAAGCCUGUCCCUCAAACACAGUAAAUCUGGAAGGCAAAGCCUUGUGAGGCAUCUGUACAAAUUGCCUUCCCUUCUGGAGCCUCUGUGUUGGGCAAAGGGUUGUGGAGCAGAGAAUAUUUAGACAUUUAGGUCAAAAUUCUGACUAUUGGCAUUCUGCUUUUAUCUUCUUUAUGUAUAGAAUAUCAAACAAUAUUUUUAAAAAGCUUCCACUGCUGAAAAUACUUGAACACCACUACCUUAGUGGAUUAAAUACAAACUAUUGCAUUGGAUACCCUGACCUAUGAAUUUAACCUUCUAUUUUCCUAAAUUAACCUCACGUGUUUCAGUCUAGAACCCUGCACUGGAUGUCUCCCUGGUAGAGUGGCCCUUUCGUUCUCAGUUCAUUUGAACUUGCACCGAGUCCUUGUGUCCGGUCGUGUGGACUGUCUUCAGCUGCCUUUCCACCUGGUGAUACCCUAUUCACUCUUCCUUCCUAAACAGCUCAUAUGCUGAUUCUUCAGCAAUGCCUUUGACUUUAGAUAGAUGUCUAC